AUGGUUACCGCUAUUUAACUGGCUGCCAUAGCAACACUCAUGUUUUGGCAGGAGAGUCCCAACGGAAACAGUAACUCCCCCACUCCCCCUUCACACUUCUAUCCCAAAGGCUGAGGCAUUGCAGCAAUCCAGCCAACGAGGAGAUCUCCGUCCUUUGGGACCCAUUGUUGCCACCCCAUGCGAUGGCCACUGAGGAUUUCCUACGGGAAAAGUACACCGUGGAAAAACCCCCAAACCAACCAAGAAAGAACUAAUGCCAAGACCCAGGAGAGAAAAGACCUCCAAUUAUUACAGAUCUCAUAUCGAAUUGACUUCAAACCAGCCCUAAUAACAAAAACAAAUGGGAAGUACAACGCAGUCUCUUUUCUCUUUAAAACAAGAAUGUAACCAUGUAAGAUCUCAGUUUCCUUGAAUAAACCAGAUCCACAGUA